rnacentral:tRNA from 1 species
AAGGCUUUAGCUUAAUUAAAGCAUGUGCUUUGCAUGCAUAAGAUGUGGGAUAGUACCCCGCAAGUCUUA